GAUGAACGCUGGCGGCGUGCCUAAUACAUGCAAGUCGGACGAAGCCUUCGUGCUUAGUGGCGAACGGGUGAGGAACACGUGGGUGAUCUGCCCUGCACUUCGGGAUAAGCCUGGGAAACUGGGUCUACUACUGGAUUGGCCCACUGGCUGCAUGCGGGGUGUUGGGCUGCUUUUGCGGUGUGGGAUGGGCGCGCGGCCUAUCAGCUUGUUGGUGGGGUGAUGGCCUACCAAGGCGACGACGGGUAGCCGGCGUGAGAGGGUGACCGGCCACACUGGGACUGAUAUACGGCCCAGACUCCUACGGGAGGCAGAAGUGGGGAAUAUUGCACAAUGGGCGCAAGCUUGAUGCAGCGACGCCGCGUGAGGGAUGACGGCCUUCGGGUUGUAAACCUCUUUCAGCGCCGACGAAGCGCAAGUGGCGGUAGGUGCAGAAGAAGGACCGGCCAACUACGUGCCAGCAGCCGCCGUAA
rnacentral:rRNA from 1 species